rnacentral:lncRNA from 1 species
CCAUUUUCCUGUGUUUUUUUUUAAAUUCUGUUUUUUCCUGUUAUUUUUGUCAUGUGAGAGUUUUUCAUAUCUGUCUUGUUUUCAAGUGUAAGUACUGUGGCUAAGUGAAAUAAAUUAAAUGAUUUGUUUCCUAUAUUUUUAAGGUACUAUUAAUAAUUAAUAUCCAUGCUCCAUGUAUACACAUUUCUUGGAAAAUUGGGAUUAGGUGAU